rnacentral:rRNA from 1 species
AUACGGAGGGUGCAAGCGUUGUCCGGAUUUAUUGGGUUUAAAGGGUGCGUAGGCGGAUAAUUAAGUCAGUGGUGAAAGACUGCAGCUCAACUGUAGAGGUGCCAUUGAUACUGAUUAUCUUGAGUACAGUUGAGGUAGGCGGAAUUUAUGGUGUAGCGGUGAAAUGCAUAGAUACCAUAAAGAACACCGAUAGCGAAGGCAGCUUACUGGACUGUAACUGACGCUGAGGCACAAAAGCGUGGGGAGCGAACGGGAUUAGAAACCCUAGUAGUCC